rnacentral:tRNA from 1 species
GGGCAGGUGGUGGAACGGCAGACACGUACGGUUCAGGGCCGUAUGCCGAAAGGCGUGAGGGUUCAAAUCCCUCCCUGCCCA